GCACUCUCCUCCCUCGGCAUGGCCGCUGCUUAACCAACACAGGCUGCUUUUGGCCAUGACGUCUUAUAGCAAUGCAAACCUCCUAGGAUAGCUUAGGGCCAGUGCUGAGGCCCGGCUUUGACUCAAAGUGCCACCUCAAAGGAGAGGCAUCGAGAUGGGCUUCAGUGCCUGGCACUAAGGGACAGCUUCCGGCACACCACUGCAUCGCACUAGCUCCUGGGGCUGCAUGGUUCUCCUGGGCCAGACACCAGUUUUAAAUCACUCUGCCUGGUUCCCUGGGGUCUCUGUCCCAGUGUGUGGAGGGCUGGGGGGUGGGCAACACCCCACUUACUUCUCAAUGGUGUAAGUAUAGUUUCUUUGCAGCUCCACCGGGUUGAGGAUUCCCAUGGAGCAGGCAGAGAUUUUGCUGUAAUGGAGAGAAGUGGACAGACCUGAAGAGGGACAGGACAACCAGGGAUGGAGCGGUGGCGGCGGCGGCGGCGGCGGCAGCGCCAACUGAGAUGAGCGUGGACUGCAAGGAACAGACACACUUCAUGAAGAACCACUGUCAGACCUGCCAAGCCUGAUCCCAACAGAGUGGCUCUCAGUGUCACAUCUCAUCUUCCCAAACCCAAGCUCUGUCCCUAGAAAACACCUAACUCUCCAUCCCCUCCCCUCAAAAGCACACAGUCUCCACAUGGCAAUUGUCUGUAAGAACUGUAUUCCUUUUCCUGGCUGAGUAAUAUUCAAUCGAAUGGAUGGGCCACGUUUUCUGUAUCCACUGGUCAGUUUUCCCACUCUUGUCCCUUGUGAAUUGUGGCUGCACCCCUGCUGAGCUGCACCUGGCCUGACUCCAGAGAGUAACAACCAGCCCUAACCCGUCUUUUGUUUAACCAAUAUCUUUUGUUUCUCUUAUUGCCCUAUGUGAAUCUUGUCUCAGUCUCCCAUGGAUACAAAGGCCUAUGCAAAACUUGGUUCAGGAAAUUCGGAAAACCAUGGUACUUGAUGAAUCGAGGAAUUUGCACUUGGCCUUGUAUUUUUGGGAGCUCCUUUCAGGCUGUUUUGAGAAUACGGAAAUCAACUUACGAAAGUAUAAAUAUUGAGAAAAAUAAAAAUGCCCUGGGCAAAGGGAAAGUCCUUAGAGGCUGGACUCCCCUGAUGUGGGAUGGUCUGUAUGUCAAGUGUGUUGCUGUUUGGUCAAUAAAUAAAACACUGAUUGGCCAGUGGCCAGGCAGGAAGUAGGUGGGACAAGGAGAGAGGAGAAUUCUGGGAAGUGGAAGGCUGAGUGAAGGAGACACCGCCAGCCACCACCAUGACAAGCCGCAUGUGAAGAUGCCGAACCUGUGCAGUGCGGUGGGAGCAGCGUCCCUGCGACAGCACACGAGCAAACGUCAGGCAGCAGACGUCUGUACGCACCAGCGGCUUCAGGUCCACACACGCGAUUGUCUUGUCGGCUAUGUCCACGGUUAUGGAGGAGAUGGCAUUCCGCUUGAUGCUGCAAGGCAACAGGGCUAUAAGGCCUGCAUUAGAGUGA